GACACAUUACUUUCUAGCUGAACACACAGCCUGAUCCACUUCUGGACAGCUGAGCCUCCGGUUGUGGGAUAUAUACGUCCUGUUAAAUUCCUUACUGUAACGAUGGUGAUGAUAAUGGCGGUGAUGAUGACAAUGACGAAGUGACAGCAGUGAUUUCGGUGAUGACAUGAUUGUGCAGGAAGAGGGGAAGGAGUGAGAGUUGGUGCUUUGGACUCUAUCACUUCUCUGUUACUGGCUCUGGGCCACUUGCCCUCCCUGAGCUGCUUGUUCAUCUCUGAAAUGGAGUGGAGCGUGAUCUCUGUCCUGUCUUUUUGCAAAGUUACGCCAAAGGAAUGUAAAGAUGAACGCUGAGGAUGUGGCAUGAUGGCAACAUCAAGCGGGAAGGUUCUACUGAGAAUGGUGCUGUUCCCUGGUUUGGCGAAACCAGCAGAACCGGAAAACAGACGUAACCUCAAUGUAGAUGACUCUACUUGAUUCAAGAUGUCAUGGAAACAUCGACUAAGACUAAUCCUGGCCAUGGAUUCUCCUUUGGGUCCCCCUUCCUUCGCAAGGCCAGCCCGUCCGGAGGGACUGCCCUGGGCCUGGAGGCUACAGGAUCCCUACUCUCCCCGGGAGUCACCCGGCCACGAAAGACCUGAGUGGCCUGUGGACCUUCAGGAGGAAGACAGGGCUGAAGACAUAGUCAGGCGGAGACUGGAUCUGCUGCCGUGAAGGAGAUAAAUAAAUCUUAAAAAAAAAAAAAGAAGAGGCAGAAGAAGAGAAGAGACGCAGGGAGGACGCCAUGUGCCAACAGAGUCAGAGACUGAAGCUGGAAGUCAGGCUGGCCGCCGCCAGCAGCCACGAUGAGGCAAGGAGGGAUCCUCUCCUACAGAUUUCAGGGGAAGGAGGGCCCUGUCGACCACUGGAUUUUGGACUUCUAGUCUCCAGAACUAAGACAACACAUUUCUGUUGUCUGGAAGCACCCAGUUGGUGGGAGUUUGUUACCACAGGCCUAGGAACGAACGCAUGGCUUUCACGGCACACCAGUAGGGCUGGCUCGCUCUCAACUGGGCAUUCAGUGAAGACGAGCCUUUGUCCCAGCCUGCACCUGGGUGGGGAUGUUCUCCCCAACGUGCAUAUCCUCUCCACAAGAAAUGGAGCCCCUCUCUGUCACCUCGCUGUGUAAAAACAAAGUAUUAAUUCACAACGGGUUUCAAUCAGCUACUAUACAAAAAGGCAUACCCAGAAGGUAUUAAUUUACGACAGGUCUCCCUUGUCUACUCUGUAA